rnacentral:rRNA from 1 species
CAGUAGCCACGGUAAUACAGAGGGUGCAAGCGUUAAUCGGAAUUACUGGGCGUAAAGCGCGCGUAGGUGGUUUGUUAAGUUGGAUGUGAAAUCCCCGGGCUCAACCUGGGAACUGCAUCCAAAACUGGCAAGCUAGAGUAUGGUAGAGGGUGGUGGAAUUUCCUGAGUAGCGGUGAAAUGCGUAGAUAUAGGAAGGAACACCAGUGGCGAAGGCGACCACCUGGACUGAUACUGACACUGAGGUGCGAAAGCGUGGGGAGCAAACAGGAUUAGAUACCCCCUUAGUCCCUGUCUCUUAUAC